UGCAGAAGCGAUGUGCUGCGGGUGUCAGCCAUGUCAGUGAAGGGCCGAGCGUAAGAGCAGGGUGCCGAAGGCGUCGGCUGCACCCAGAAACUGCCCAGUGUGGAAGCAACAUGCCACAGGUGUCAGCCGAGCCGGGAAGAGCCUGGCGCAGGAGCAACGUGCCAUAGGUUAUAGCUGAGCCAGGGAAGGGCCGAGCGCAACAGUGACGUGCCGUAGGUAUUGGCUGAGCGCAAGAGCAACGUGCCAUAGGUUAUAGCUGAGCCAGGGAAGGGCCGAGCGCAACAGUGACGUGCCGUAGGUAUUGGCUGAGCGCAAGAGCAACGUGCCGUAGGUAUUGGCCGAGCGCAAGAGCAACGUGCCGUAGGUAUUGACUGAGCCAGGGAAGGGCUGAGUGCAACAGUGACGUGCUGUAGGUAUUGGCUGAGUGCAAGAGCGAUGUGCCGUAGGUAUUGGUUGAGCGCAAGAGCGACGUGCCGUAGGUAUUGGCUGAGCGCAAGAGCGACGUGCCGUAGGUAUUGGCUGAGCCAGGGAAGGGCUGAGCUCAAGAGCGACGUGCUGUAGGUAUUGGCUCAGCGCAAGAGCGACGUGCCAUAGGUAUUGGCUGAGCCAGGGAAGGGCUGAGCUCAAGAGCGACGUGCUGUAGGUAUUGGCUGAGUGCAAGAGCGAUGUGCCGUAGGUAUUGGCUGAGUGCAAGAGCGAUGUGCCGUAGGUAUUGGCUGAGCGCAAGAGCGACGUGCCGUAGGUAUUGGCUGAGCGCAAGAGCGA